GGAGUUAAGUGCUGGUGAUUGAACACGAUGACGAUGGGCGAAGCCAGCCCUGAAAAGGCUGGCGUCGGCGGUUCGAUUCCGUCCCUGGCCACCA
rnacentral:tRNA from 1 species